rnacentral:lncRNA from 1 species
CUUGUUCGGGGUAAGUACUCUACGUCUUUAUGUGCUGUAGUUUUCACUUUGUUUUUUUCUUGUCUUUCUCUUUUUUUUUUUUUUUUUGGUUUUUCGAGACAGGGUUUCUCUGUAUAGUCCUGGCUGUCCUGCUGAAACUCACUUUAUAGACCAGGGUGGCCUCGAACUAAAAUCCGCCUGCCUCUGCCACCCGAGUGCUGCGAUUAAAGUCGUGCGCCACCACGCCUGGCUCUUGUCUUUCUCUUAAUCAGCUUUCCUAUAACUGCGGCUGGCUUUUAUCACAAACACCUAUCUGUCACUGUUGUGAACCGCCGCCUGUAUUUUCUUACGUAAUGUUUAUUUCUGGUGAUUUAAAAGACCCUCGUGGGCAGCGUUAAUAAAUGUGGACUUUGGUAAUCUGUUCCGUAGUCUUAGCGGGGAGACCAUGUUAGGGCAUUCAAGACCUAAAGAUGACAGGAUUUUGUGAAGGACAAAAUGGUGGCGGCAGUGCAAGGCCACCCCCUAUGAUGAGGACCUUUUCACAGACCUGUACUGAUAUAUCUGUGAGGAUAAGUAACUCUGAGGAGGCUGGCCCUACAUCACAGCCUUCUCAUCCUUUAGAGAUUUCUUGGUGUAGAAGUAACCCGAUGCUAACUUCUCUACAGGUUUGAGGUGCCACCUUACAAAAGGAUGGGUGUACGCUCUCUUUUCAGAGUAAGUAGUGUUAAUGGUUUUACCAGAUUUUUUUGGUUGUUGAGUAUAAGUUGUGUGUGUGCUACGGGGAUGAUAUGAAAACUGAACUCUCUCUUUCUGAUGGUUUAGUGGAGAAAACAAAAAUUCUCUGAGUAGCACAAUCUGUGGCAGGUAUUUGGAUUGUUUGGCAUAAAGUCUUUUAUUGAAGUUUGGGGUUUUUUUUUUCUGUUCUAGAUGUGGUUCAUCUCAAAGCCCUUUACACUUUGGAGCCAGGCCUGUUCAAUUUUACAAAUAACACGUUUUGCUUGUAGUCAGGUAGGUAUUGAUGGUUGGUGCUUCCUUAGGGAACAUAUUUAGAUGGCCACUUAAUGAUGAACAAUGUAAAUGACAAGCAUAUGGCUGAGUUGCAAUGAUGUCAUCUUACUACUGAAAUGGGCUGAAGAAAGAAGGUGCUGAGGUGGCUGUGAUUACAUUUAAAAAUGACAUUGUUUCUCUGUUUCCAGGGUGCUGUGACAACAUGAAGAGUUCGAGCUACCUCCCAGGAUGAGUGCAGGUAAUUGUCCAAGUAGAGCUUAGGGUUUCCCUAGGGAAAAUAGUCAAGACAGACAUUGAAGCAGCACAACACUUUUUUGCUGCUUACUAUUUGUAUUUCUAGAGGACACAUUAUGUUAAGGCCUUUGUUCUCUUAAAAACUCAACUGUCAGAUGAUUUGAAAUGAUGACACUGAACACUCCGUGAAGGUGUGAAUUUAUAGCAUGUUAGAGUUCUGAUGGCAGUUAGUGCUGACAGACAGAUUGUAAUUCUGUCCUGAUGGUUGAAAAUAACUACUUGUUACUCUUCCACAGGUUUUCCUGGUGACAAAUCUCAGGCAUUCAAAGGUUAGUUAGAUUAUUUUGGAUGGGGUUUGUUCACUAGGUUUGCUGUUUCUAUGAUGAAUCAAACUAGCUCACUAUGACUGCUAAUGAAAACACAGGAACACCUGAGAAACCAAAGGGUAGUGUGGGGGCAAGGGCCUUAUAUCCAGCCUUUUCAAGGUUUGUUAUUUUUCUCCAGGUUCUGUUAGCAGUGCCAUACUUGUGGGUUUACAGGUGAGUGAUUCCAGUGUGUGGUGUGGUGUAUGUGCAUAGCAUUGGACUGGGGUGGGGGGACCUAACUGAGAACGUACUUUGUGUAUAUAUGAUGACUUUCAUAGAAUCUCGUUCGGCUGAUGAUUGCUGUUGAGACUUGGAAAUCUGAUUUUUCUCAGAAUGAUGGGUUAGAUAGGAACAAGCUGUUGCAGGAUUUUUAACAUUGCUGAUGACUGUCUUGUUUUUCAGAGAUGGUGUGUCUGGCUGAGAACAAAGGAGCCGUACCAGGUAUAUGUCUUAGUAAUGCUUUUUGUAGUAUAAGGUUGAAUAUAUAAUACUUAGACCUAGUGAAUUCCUGCUCACCCUGAUGAACUGAAUACCGCCCCAGUCUGAUAGCUGUGGAGAAAGGUAUUUUCUGAGUUGUGAGCUCAUUUUGGAUCAAGUAGGAAAUUUUUUAUGCUAAUACUAGCAUAGUAUUAAUACUAGCAUAAGCUUUUGUAAAAGAAGCUUAAGCAUUAAUGGCCCAAAUUGUUUGCUAUUUUGUAGGAAAGUUGAAGCAUAUCUUCAUUUUCAAGUCCAGGCUAAAAUAAGGUGAGAAAACUUAGAUGAAAAGUAUGCUGAACUAUAAUUUCCCCAUGAAGAAAUGUUCACACGUCCUACUUCCUGUCCUAGCUCCAGAGCCUGAAAAGGUGAACCCACUGGGGCUGGCUGGGGGAAAAGAGGAAACUUUGUUCCAGAAGGAACUGUCUGAGGGAUCAUUUUUGUGCGUAGAAAGGGAAGAAUUCUCACUUGAUUAAAGAGGAAUCAAAAGGUGAUUUACUUGUUUUACAGGUCUGAGGAAAAGAAUGAGCUGCGUGUGAAGGAUAGGUAAGCCCUUCAAAUCAUUAAAAUGGGCGGCGCAGGGUUGGGGGAAACUGGUUACCUAGACAGCCUAUAGUCUCUUCUGAUAGUGAAUGUAGGAUGAUUUUGCUUUCUACUCCUAAUUCAAAUUUUUAUCUUGCAGGAACAGAAAUCAUGAAAGAUCUGUUUGUCCAGGCCAGUGUUUCACCAUAAGAGAUCACUUUAAAAUAAAUGAUGAAAUAAUUCUUUGCAAUUGCAAAUUUACCUUCCUUGCUUACCACAUUGUUAACUGUAGGAGCUGAUACCUGGUUCUUCCACUGUUAACUUGUACUCUGUGUUUGUUCUAGCAAUAAAUGCUCUUUAUGCUA